CGCUGGCGGCGUGCUUCAUACAUGCAAGUCGAACGAGAAUCUGGUGCUUGCACCAGAGGAAAGUGGCGGACGGGUGAGUAAUAUGUAGAGAAUCUGCCCUUUAGCGGGGGACAACAGUUGGAAACGACUGCUAAUACCCCAUAUGAGCGUAACUGAAAUGUUAUUCUUGAAAACUCCGGUGCUAAAGGAUGAGUCUGCAUCUGAUUAGCUAGUUGGCGGUGUAAUGGACCACCAAGGCGACGAUCAGUAGCUGGUUUGAGAGGAUGAUCAGCCACAAUGGGACUGAGACACGGCCCAUACUCCUACGGGAGGCAGCAGUAGGGAAUUUUGCGCAAUGGGCGAAAGCCUGACGCAGCAACGCCGCGUGACCGAAGAAGCCCUUCGGGGUGUAAAGGUCUGUCAGUGGGGACGAAACUUGACGGUACCCACAGAGGAAGCAUCGGCUAACUCCGUGCCAGCAGCCGC
rnacentral:rRNA from 1 species